rnacentral:rRNA from 1 species
CAAUAGCGUAUAUUAAAGUUGUUGCAGUUAAAAAGCUCGUAGUUGGAUUUCUGGCUGGAGCGAUCGGUCCGCCCCGCAAGGGGUGUGUACUAGCGUCGUCUCCGACCAUCCUUGUGGGAACUGUGCGGCCGUUAACUCGGUUGUAUAUGGGAACACAUCGUUUACUGUGAAAAAAUUAGAGUGUUUAAAGCAGGCUUAAGCCGUUGAAUACAUUAGCAUGGAAUAAUAAGAUAAGACUUGGGUCAUUAUUUUGUUGGUUUGCGGAUCGAGGUAAUGAUUAAUAGGGAUAGUUGGGGGUAUUCGUAUUCCGUUGUCAGAGGUGAAAUUCUUGGAUUUACGGAAGACGAACGACUGCGAAAGCAUUUACCAAGGAUGUUUUCAUUAAUCAAGAACGAAAGUUAGGGGAUCAAAGAUGAUUAGAUACCGU